GAUUCUAUUUUCACAUUAUACGAAAUUUUGUAAUGUGCUAAGUAACAUUUCACCGUCGACACUUCUCCAUACUGUUGUAGCUACGGAGACGUUGUUCUGUACGAAAUGCCAGGAUGUGGAUGACCCUACAACAUGUCCAGAGUUUACUAUCUGUGCUCCUGAUGAGAUAUGUAGUGCGGUAUCCUACAUAGAUUCAAAUUCCAGACAAAAACACACGCUUGGGUGUAAACCGGCCUCUCAAUGUCCGGCCAGCACUGUGACUGGAACAGCGGUUGUCGGGCGGCGACAUGUUGUCAACACCAGAAGUUCUCAUCAGCAGGAGAGAUGUUGUUCUACCACCUUGUGUAAUCUUAACUUCUUCA